GUGGACAUAGUCAUUGCUACACCAGGAUGAUAAAUGAUCUGCAGAUGAGCUCAUCAACUUGCGCUCCGUCACCUAUCUGGUGUUGGAUGAAGCUGAUAGAAUGUUGGAUAUGGGCUUUGAACCUCAAAUCAUGAAAAUCAUUCUGGAUAUUCGACCUGACAGACAAACUGUUAUGACUAGUGCCACCUGGCCAACAGGUGUCAGCCGGCUGGCCAAGUCCUACCUGAAAGACCCCAUGAUGGUUUAUGUGGGCACCUUAGAUCUAGC